ACAACUUAUUUGUACGAGGUUAGCCAAUUCAGUCAAUUAUCUUUCAUAACUUCCUCUGAUUAUCAUUAUCUACAGAAAGUCCUUCCUGAUUCCAAAGAGCAGUCUGAUCCAAGUUAUUUCAACUGGGGGGCUAGCCCAUCCUCUUCUUCUUCCAAGGCCAGGGCCCACUUCACAGGCAUCUGAUUCAGAAGAUUUCCCUCCCCAACUAGACUCAUCAAACCCCAAGCUUCCUUUCCCUGCUUACUCUUUUGCAUAAUUACACAGUGAGGUCAUGUGUUUACCAUACCAUUGUUCCAUCGCCAUGGAGAUGAUGAGCCGCAAAGCACUGGCAAGAGGCCUCCCAUGCAGGAUGAAGCCAAAGAAGAAGACAGAGAGAAGAGAGGAAGGACACGCCCAUUAACCAGAGGACCCAAAACAUAUCUCAAGGAGCUCAUGAAGUCACCCUCAUGCACACAGUUUCCCAGGUGUCAGAUCUGUUUGGGCCACACACUCAAGAAGAACACCAUGUGGGGAUGAAGGCAGAGAGCAAGGUGAUGCAGCUGAAACCAAGGACGCUGAAGACUUCCUGCAAACCCCCAGAAGCUGGGGGAGAGGCCCUGCCAGACUUCAGAAGGAGCCAACCCUGCUGAUACCUUGACCUUGAACUCCUAGCCCCAGAACUAUGAGAAAUAAAUUUCUGUUAUUUAAGCCA